rnacentral:rRNA from 1 species
UGGGGAAUUUUGGACAAUGGGCGCAAGCCUGAUCCAGCCAUGCCGCGUGCAGGAUGAAGGCCCUCGGGUUGUAAACUGCUUUUGUACGGAACGAAAAGCCUCUUUCUAAUAAAGAGGGGUGAUGACGGUACCGUAAGAAUAAGCACCGGCUAACUACGUGCCAGCAGCCGCGGUAAUACGUAGGGUGCGAGCGUUAAUCGGAAUUACUGGGCGUAAAGAGUGCGUAGGCGGUUUUCUAAGUUCGGUGUGAAAUCUCCCGGCUUAACUGGGAGGGUGCGCCGAAGACUGGGAAGCUUGAGUGUGGGAAAGGCAGGCGGAAUUCCUGGUGUAGCGGUGAAAUGCGUAGAUAUCAGGAGGAACACCGGCGGUGUAGACGGCUUGCUAGACCAUAACUGACGCUGAGGCACGAAAGCGUGGGUAGCAAACA